AGCUAGUGCCAACUCUGUUUCCAAAUGUGACCUCAAAGAGGUUUCAGAGAAAGAAUGUAUUGUUGGCUAUCUGAAAUGCACAGGUACUCACCUUUUUUAUUUUUGUGCAGACUUGAAGACAUUUCUCUAGUGAAGGAAAUUGUUGUGAUCUCAACUAAGUUUUCUCUUUCUUGCAGUCUGAUUUGUAUCCAUUUGGGAACAAAAAGUACUAGCAUUUUAGCCAAAGUUAGUUAGCGUGUUACCAUAAAAGAUGCAUAUGGACAAGCUGACUGUAUGUCUGAAUAACCGUAAUAACAUCUGAAUGUAAUAAUAACCGUAACAUCCCAUGACUUGAGUAACAACCUGAAGUAAUCAGAAAUCAGAUUUGCUUUACCUAUGGGUUUUCCUGAAUUGCACAUGAAUAACCAAUUAUUUUAGAGAUUAAUUAUGUAAUAAUGUUAUCUUUGCCAAAAAGGCUUGAUUCUCCAUUGUAGUCAUAUAUCACCCGAGGGUAAUUUAACUUUUAAGGUUUGUCAGGUGCAUAGGGGAAUUUUUACCACUCUCUCUAGGUGAGGUGUGUAGUUUCUGCAACUCCUCUGACCUUUGACCUCUGCUCCUGCACAUGUUAAACAAGGUCUUUGAUAUUUCUGCCCUUCAUGUAACAGAAUGGGAACGAUUGCUCCUCUAUAAUAAGAAAAGCGCAUGCAGUGGUCCAGUAUAUGGUCUGAGAAAUGGGAAAACACAGCAAGUCAGCAGCAGUGGAUGGGGCAGAGAGGAAGGACAAAUUCUGUGCGAGUAUCUAAAAUGUGGAAAUUACAUAUCACACUCCAAUAUAACCAAAAACACAGAUGAGUGGUGGAAGAAGACCUAUGAUUGCUCAGGGAAGAAGAAUAUUUGGGAAUGCGAGACCAAUGAUCAGUCCAACCAGACUCAGCAGUUAAACAUCCAAUGUGACAGUAAACCUCGAAAAAUUUUGCUCUCAGACAACUGCACAGGUUAUGUGUUCAUAAAUAAAGAACAUGUUUGUGCAUCCUGGUGGGAUGAUGGGAUGUCCAACAAGUUAUGUGACAGCCUCAAUUGUGGUAAGGCACUCCACAGCUGGGUCACAGAGUCUGUUAUUAAAACAAAUACCUGGCAUUUCAGCUGCACUGGCAAGGAGACACUGAUGUGGCAGUGUGGCUCUAGAAGUGACAGCUGUAAGAAAAUCCUCUCUGUGGCCUGCAAAGGUGAGUUAUACAUGUAUUGUUGGACUGUAAUUAGGACUGUAAUUACGACUGUAAAUAAUAAAUUGAUGUUGAAAUGUAGUUCAAGUUCCCUUUUAAACAUCCCACAAGUUUUGUGGCUGUUAGUCAAUUUUUGUUUGCUCAUAUGCAUGUGUCCUCCUAUUGCAGAUAGAUGCACGUUAUGAAAUAUUAAAAAGAUUAGUCAUAUGCUUAGAAUAUACUAAGUUGUGCUAUACUUCCAAUGACAGAAGUUAUGUAUAUUUGUAUUGCAGGUAGUGUUGAAUUCAGCUCUACUGAGAAGUGUGGCGGGAAGCUUGGGAUCAGGUAUAAAGGGCAAUGGGAAUAUGUCUGUGGAGAACUGGCUGAAGCUGAUACCAAGAAGGUUUGUGAUGUGCUUAAUUGCAACAAUCAAGAACUGCUGGAUGAAGAGAAAAUUGCAAAGGAAAUAAAGGUGAAAAUUGAAUGCCCAAAAAACCAUUACAACAUUUUUCAGUGCAUGCACCAUCUCGGAAACAAUACAUGCAGUAAUCGACCUGCUGAAAUCAAAUGUGAAGGUAAAAAAAAAAAACACAGAUGCCAUACACUUUAAUAUAGGAAAAUCAUUUUUAUUGUUCUGGGAUUUGUUUUGCCGCUGCUUGCCUUCUUGCAUGAAGUAAAGUAGCUGUGAGUUUACUUUAAUAAAGGUUAAUGAACAUUCUAACCUGUGAAACUGUUUCAUUAAAACUGCAGGUUAUACUCCAAAAGGAGGUAAUUCUUCAGUGGGUCUGAUAUUGGGUCUGUUAGGAGUUGUGCUGGGGUUGCUGAUUUUGUUUUUAAUGUGGAGAAAUCGGAAACGCCUACUUUUAACCUGUGAGUAUCAUAUUCACAAUGCAGAAAGACAUUUUUCUAAUUUGCUGAUAAACAUUAUUUUUACAUAAUGAAGUUACACAGAGAUAUUUGAAAGGCCUUCAUCUUUUUAGCCUGUUGGUGGCAGUCUUUCCCACUUCUUGUCUCACUACACACACUCCACAUCAAACAAUAACCGGUAGAAUUAAUAGAAAGCAUACUUUUCUGCCUGUUUCUGUUUUUGCAGUAACUCAUUACAGAAAUAAAAAUGGCAAAGACGUCAACCCUGAUGUGAAUGAAAUGGAUCAGAUGGAUACAGAGGACAGAGGUAUACUGUUUAAUUUAAUUAUUAUUACUUUGAACAUUGUGAAUACUGAGACAUAAGCUAAUGCUUUCCUUAAUUGCAAAAUGUUAUUAUUAUUAUUUAUUUAUUUAUUUUACUUUUGUAUCUAAUAAGACAAAAGACAAAAUCAUUCAAACACACAGAUAGAUAGAUAGAUAGAUAGAUAGAUAGAUAGAUAGAUAGAUAGAUAGAUAGAUAGAUAGAUAGAUAGAUAGAUAG
ensembl:lncRNA